UGGCCCUCCAGAUGUUACUAAACUACAACUUCCAUCCGCCCUAGAAAGAAGGGUCAAUGGUGAGGCACGAUUGGAGUUGUAGUUUAGUAAUAUCUGGUGGGCCA